ACGUACACUCCUGCGGGAGGCAGCAGUGGGGAAUAUUGGACAAUGGGCGCAAGCCUGAUCCAGCCAUGCCGCGUGAGUGAUGAAGGCCCUAGGGUUGUAAAGCUCUUUCACCGGUGAAGAUAAUGACGGUAACCGGAGAAGAAGCCCCGGCUAACUUCGUGCCAGCAGCCGUGGUAAUACGAAGGGGGCUAGCGUUGUUCGGAUUUACUGGGCGUAAAGCGCACGUAGGCGGACUAUUAAGUCAGGGGUGAAAUCCCGGGGCUCAACCCCGGAACUGCCUUUGAUACUGGUAGUCUUGAGUUCGAGAGAGGUGAGUGGAAUUCCGAGUGUAGAGGUGAAAUUCGUAGAUAUUCGGAGGAACACCAGUGGCGAAGGCGGCUCACUGGCUCGAUACUGACGCUGAGGUGCGAAAGCGUGGGGAGCAAACAGGAUUAGAUACCCUUGUAGUCCCAUGAU
rnacentral:rRNA from 1 species